rnacentral:rRNA from 1 species
CCCGUCCUCAUGAGAGGUCCAGCCUGCCCAGUGGAUUUACUAAACGGCCGCGGUACCCUAACCGUGCUAAGGUAGCGCAAUCACUUGUCCCCUAAAUAGGGACUCGUAUGAACGGCACCACGAGGGUUAUCCUGUCUCCCCCCUUUAAUCAGUGAAACUGACCUCCCCGUGAAGAGGCGGGGAUAAGUAUAUAAGACGAGAAGACCCCAUGGAGCUUUAAAUACACACCACCUACUUCUCCUUAUAUCUAUAAAACCAAGUAGCUCUGGCCACUGUUUUAGGUUGGGGCGACCACGGAGUAAAACUCAACCUCCGAGACGAACAACUAAUUCAAGAACAACAACUCAAAAAAUCAAAACUGACGUAAUUGACCCAAGCUCAUUUGAUCAACGAAC